rnacentral:tRNA from 1 species
UUUUAGGUGACUGAAUUAAGUGUAAAUCUUUUAAAUUUAUUAUAGUGUUCAAUUUAGCACUUCUAAAAA